AAGGGCUUUUGUAGGAAGUGAAGUUUUGAGUCCCCAUAGGAGGUCUUAGUGUUGUGGAGAGAGUGGUUGGUUAGUUAGUUAUAUUAUUUUUGUUUUUGAUGUUAGAGAAGGUUAUAGGGACAGUGGUAAUGUUUGUGCUAGUGAUAAGGUCAUAUAAAGAGAUGUUUCUGAACAGGUGCUCUUCCUAGAUGUAGUUCAGAGAAACUGCAAGGCUUAUUAUGGGAGGAUUAAUCUUGAUUGUGAAGGUGUCUCUGAGUCUGAACUCAGGCUUGGAUUCUAGUUCUAGAUGCUAGGAAAAUUCAAGUUCUUGAGGACUCUGAGGAGAGUGAAAUGAAGUUACUGAACUCUGUACCCAAGGUUGAAGAGCUGGUGUGAAACUUCACACUUCCUGCAUGCAAAAAAAAUGUUGCAUCAGAAGUCAGUGAUGGUUCCACAGACAACAAGGGAAGAAAAUAGUUGUUAAUGAGUGGCUGCUAAGGGAAGAGUUUGGAUUUGCAAUGUCCAGCUAUCAUGACAGAUAUGGUAUAACUGCAGGUGUAGCAGUUCUUAAGGGAAGAGAGGUGGGCCACACUGUUUUUAUCAUCAGCUUCUUUCUAUAAAAGCACUACUAAUGGAACAGAACACUGAAGUGACAAUAUAGAAGAGGACUUUCUUGUCUGGUGCUGCAGAGGAAGAUCUACAUUUCUGCCCUGAAUUCUACUAGGCGUUCUACACUUUUGGUCAGAAACAAGAAACUUUCAGGGGUGGGAUGCUGAGUUACCAUUGACUCUGGAUUUUGCCACCCUGAAAUCACCUCAAGCCAAGAGAGGGAACCUGAAAAAGACCACCUAUAGGGUAAAUGAAGGCCUCAGAGGGAGCAUGGGGGGACUAUUCUCUUUGAGCUUAAGGGACUGACUGCUUAUCUUUUCAUUUUUAAGACUAUGGGACCCAGCUGCCACCCCACCAAAGUGUAUGUUUUUCGUUUUGGCAGCUGUUUCCUAGUGCUAUUAAUUUUACAGGAGAAGCAUCAGUAGCUCCUCCAAAAAAGAGCAAUCACAGACACAAUCCGUCUAGUUCAGAAGAGAUCUCUAGGGUCAUUGGUGUGGGGGUGGGGAGAAAUACUAUAGGUUUAAGAGGAUACUCUGAACAUCCUUCUACAGUUUAACCCAUGAUAUGCUCAGUAAGUGACUGGUGCAAUCUAAUAGACAAUUCAGAAACAAAAUGCUUUCAUAUUUACCUACUUUCAGAGUAUCAAAAGCUAAUGGCUAGACAAAUGUAGAUGUUUAGUAGCAGCUGUGCUUUCAUAUAAGGAAAGUUAAUCUGCAGUCCGUUCACAGAACACUUGCACCCUGCCCCUGACCUGGACAUCUUCAACUAUGAAGAAGCUAUUCCUGGCUGCUUCUUGUUUUAGGUAAAUAGACAAGGCUUCUUUCAGCCCCAUUGACUUUACGCUUUAGUCACUACAUCAUGUGGAAUGCUCAAGAUUAGUUAUUCUCUGAUUCCCUGUUGGCACAUGGUAUGAAUUUUUAUAUUUUCUGUAGAUAUCUAACUGCUACUUGGAAGAUUGUUGUAGCACACUGGAAAAAUACUACUUUAUCAGUUACACAACUAAAGCAACUAAAGACAAGUAAGGCAACUAAAAGCAAGUAAUUCAGGCCACUGUAACUUACCAUUUCUGUAUGAAGCUCUCAAAAUAUUUGUUAAAUCUUGACUUAUAAGCAAGGCAAAACAGUUCAUCUAAAUAUGAAAAGAUGAAGCUAAUUCCCAAAUUAGCGUGGGAAAAAGAGGGGAGAAGGAGUAAAGGAAUGGAAGAACAACAGAAUAGUCUCUAAAUACCAGUCUUAAAUCUGCUUUUGGUUUUGUUCAUUUUCACAGAAACCGGGAGAGGUGGGGAAAAAAAUCCCCUUCUGAAAGGUCCCUAGAAAGAUUUGAGAUGGAAGUCAUGGGAAACAGGAAACUCAGAAAUGUUACAGUAUUUUAACAUUAGUCUAUGAAUAUCAAAUUGAAAGUAUUUAUAAUCUACUUAGUUGUUCAUGAGAAAUGCAGUAACUUCUGCACUAUCAAGUGUGAGGAACACUUUCCAUUGUCUUUGAAGCAUGAUAGAAAAAUUGUAGUCUGCUCUUACUUCAGCCACAGUGGUUACAUGUGGGUUUAAAUUUAAUCCAUGAGAUAACUAUUCAGUUUACCUGUGUCUCAGGUGUUGUUCCUUUUUUUUGGAGGAGGGGAAGGAUGAGGUGGUGUUUUUUUUUCUUUAAAAAUAAGUACUUAGUUUGUAGCAUGAUGGCUGAAAACCUGGAGCCAUUCAAAUUAGUAACAAGACCUUUGUCAGUAUUAUGGGGUCAUGAUUUUAUUCAAUAAUUAGUUCUUCAUCUUUAGUUAUACUGACUGCAGAUGUAUGAGAAGUGGAACUUCAGAAAAAAAGAUAGACAAAUUAAACUCAGGAGAGCCUAUCUUUCCACAUUAUAUCUGGUUUGUUUUUCCCCUACUUCUGUCUGAAGAUUCAUCUUGCUAGAUGACCUGGACUUCAAUCUACACUCUGUAUCAUGAUGUGUAUCUAGAUAUUGUGUAACUCAGCAAAGAUUUUUAGUGAUUAUCACCUCAGAAAUGUAAACUGGGAAAGAAACAGCCUGAAAACACUUUUUUCUCCUUUGCGGAAAGGGUGGUAUGUCUUGGCUGACUCUAUUCUUGAUCAGAUAGAGCUGUAGUCUGUAAAGUGUAUGUCUCAAACUCAUUUGAGUUAGCUUUUCUCACCUGAAGAAUUAGAUCAGACAAAAAAAAUAAUAAUUAAAAAAAAAUGGAAGAACCUUCUGGAGGUAAUCUAGUUGUCUAGUUGAACAUGCUUGCUUGAAUAGGAUUCUUUAUCCAGCAGGCUUGAAAACUUCAAGGAUGGGAACUAUGCAGUGUCCUUGGAUAACCUGCUCCAGUGUUCCACCAGACACAUCUUUUGGAGGCAGCCUUUUUUCUAAAUUCCACUUUGAACCUCCCAAACCUUGAUUUGUGGCUGUGACAGAUCCCUCUUACUAUAUUCAGUGCCUCUUGCCUGAAAAAAAUCUUAGUCUAGGCUCAUCAGCCUUGAUGAAAGGAAAACAGGAAAUCUAGGUUCUGAUGCCUAUCUAAAUUGUAUCCUUUGAUCUGGAGUCUCCACUACUAAAAGUUUUAAUUUCUAGACUUGUAAAUGUUCUGAAAUAAGUUUUUGUCUAACACUGGUUUUUAAAAAAUACUUCUAUAUAUGAAAUUGUUUUUUUCUGUACCUGGCAGUUUUCAGCUGUUCUGGUUUAUGUUCUAAUUUAGAAAUAGCUGCAAAAAAAUAGAAGUAAACAUGAGAUUUAGCAUUCCCUGUUGUGUUUUUCCUUUCCUACUUUAUUCACCAGAAUGUACUAUGUAGAUUGCGGUAGUAAGGAUGAUUUCCUGGAAGCUACUUUUGGAACAUUUUGAAGGUGAUCCUCCUUAGUGCCAAGAGAAGCAAAGUGGUUCUGUGUUGAAAUGUUGAGUGAUUAUAAUAAAAGAAAAUAAAUCCAGUGUAACUAAAUGUCAGCUUUGUGCAAAUAACAUAAGUAACUUAACGACUCAAAUUCAGAGUUCUUAAUAAGUAAAGAUUUCUAACUCUUCCAUAUUUUAUCUAUUAUAUUAUUGCAUUGUGCUAUUUAAGACAGCAGUGUUCUGUUAUUUUUCUACUAGUCUGACACCUAAUGUGCUUUCCUUUGGGUUGGUAGAAAAAGAUGAUUUCUAUGGCAAUUCACACUUAAAAGAAGAAAAGCUGUCCUUCAUUUUAAUGACUAUUGAGCCAUAUUAUAGAUAUAUUAUGCCUUUUUUAGUUAAACAGAAGAUUUUGAAUUUCCUCUAAUGACACUAGAGACUAAACUCCUCUGUAGAAAGAAGUUUCAGUAAAGUAUCGUGUGGCUUCCAUUUUAGUCCGUAGUUUUCAGAAAGGGUGUUAAUUUUUAUUUUUGCAAUACAAAUA